rfam:Gossypium raimondii Chr08_contig_863, whole genome shotgun sequence.
UGUUAAAAAUUUCAUUUGUUUUACUAUUAAAAACUGGUGUUGUUGAUAAAAUAAUCAAGUAGUUACAUAUGCCAGUGUAUCUCAUUCUAGCGGGGGUCAAUUUUUUAACAGUAAAAAUGAAUGAAAAUUUUAACA